rnacentral:rRNA from 1 species
UGGGCUCGAAGCGCAGUGGACCGGGGUAGAAAUAUCCCUUCCCCUUAAAAGGCUGCUGCGGAGGUGCUGCAUGGCUGUCGUCAGCUCGUGUCGUGAGAUGUUGGGUUAAGUCCCGCAACGAGCGCAACCCUUAUCCCUAGUUGCCAUCGGGUCAAGCCGGGCACUCUAGUGAAACUGCCUCGGAUAACGAGGAGGAAGGUGGGGAUGACGUCAAGUCCUCAUGGCCUUUAUGUCCAGGGCUACACACGUGCUACAAUGGUCGGUACAAACCGUCGCAAACCCGUGAGGGGGAGCUAAUCGGAAAAAGCCGGCCUCAGUUCGGAUUGGAGUCUGCAACUCGACUCCAUGAAGCUGGAAUCGCUAGUAAUCGCGGAUCAGAACGCCGCGGUGAAUACGUUCCCGGGCC